rnacentral:rRNA from 1 species
GAUGAACGCUGGCGGCGUGCCUAAUACAUGCAAGUCGAGCGAACGGACGAGAAGCUUGCUUCUCUGAUGUUAGCGGCGGACGGGUGAGUAACACGUGGAUAACCUACCUAUAAGACUGGGAUAACUUCGGGAAACCGGAGCUAAUACCGGAUGAUAUUUUGAACCGCAUGGUUCAAAAGUGAAAGACGGUCUUGCUGUCACUUAUAGAUGGAUCCGCGCUGCAUUAGCUAGUUGGUAAGGUAACGGCUUACCAAGGCAACGAUGCAUAGCCGACCUGAGAGGGUGAUCGGCCACACUGGAACUGAGACACGGUCCAGACUCCUACGGGAGGCAGCAGUAGGGAAUCUUCCGCAAUGGGCGAAAGCCUGACGGAGCAACGCCGCGUGAGUGAUGAAGGUCUUCGGAUCGUAAAACUCUGUUAUUAGGGAAGAACAUAUGUGUAAGUAACUGUGCACAUCUUGACGGUACCUAAGCAGAAAGCCACGGCUAACUACGG